GGGUUGGGAACAUCCCCUGCAGGAGGGCAUGGCAACCCACUCCAGUAUUCUCGCCUGAAGAAUCCCCAUGGACAGAGGAGCCUGGCAGGCUGCAGUCCAUGGGGUCGCAAGGAGUUGGACCUGACCCAGCGACUAAGCAUAGA